GAUGAACGCUAGCGACAGGCUUAACACAUGCAAGUCGAGGGGCAGCGCGGGAGUCAGCUUGCUGACUUCUGGCGGCGACCGGCGCACGGGUGAGUAACACGUAUGCAACCUGCCCGCCACAGGGGGAUAACCGGGAGGAAUCCCGACUAAUACCGCGUAGUCCGGAUGGAGGCAUCUCCGUACGGGGAAAGGAGCGAUCCGGUGGCGGAUGGGCAUGCGGCGCAUUAGCUAGUCGGCGGGGUAACGGCCCACCGAGGCGACGAUGCGUAGGGGUUCUGAGAGGAAGGUCCCCCACAUUGGAACUGAGACACGGUCCAAACUCCUACGGGAGGCAGCAGUGAGGAAUAUGUCAAUGACGGGAGGUCUGAACCAAGCCAA
rnacentral:rRNA from 1 species